rnacentral:rRNA from 1 species
UACGUAGGGUGCAAGCGUUGUCCGGAAUUAUUGGGCGUAAAGAGCUCGUAGGCGGUCUGUCGCGUCGGAUGUGAAAAUCCAGGGCUCAACCCUGGACCUGCAUUCGAUACGGGCAGACUAGAGUUCGGCAGGGGAGACUGGAAUUCCUGGUGUAGCGGUGAAAUGCGCAGAUAUCAGGAGGAACACCGGUGGCGAAGGCGGGUCUCUGGGCCGAUACUGACGCUCAUGCACGAAAGCGUGGGGAGCAAACAGG